AUUGAACGCUGGCGGCAGGCCUAACACAUGCAAGUCGAACGGAGUGGCGGACCGGUGAGCAAUGUCUGGGAAACCGCCUGAUGGAGGGGGAUAACUACUGGAAACGGUAGCUAAUACCGCAUACUAUCAGAUGAGCCUAGUUCGGAUUAGCUAGUUGGGGGGGUAAAGGCCUACAAAGGCGACGAUCCGUAACUGGUUUGAGAGGAUGAUCAGGCACACUGGAACUUGGACACGGUCCAGACUCCUACGGGAGGCAGCAGUGGGGAAUAUUGGACAAUGGGCGAAAGACUGAUCCAUCCAUGCCGCGUGUGUGAAGAAGGUCUUCGGAUUGUAAAGCACUUUAAGUUGGGAGGCGUUACCAACAGAAUAAGCACCGGCUAACUGCGUGCCAGCAGCCGCGGUAAUUC
rnacentral:rRNA from 1 species